UAAGGAUGCCGUACAGAGAUGAGCUUUUUGACCCACUGCUCUUCCAGUAGUAAUGGAUUUGCACUAAUUUGAGCAGAGUAUGCCACUUGGUCCUGUUUUUCAGUUGUCCUGUGUGAUGGCUGGCUAGCAAAAUCAAACAUCUGCAUUUUGACUGUGGAAGGCAGUAUAACUAGCUGGCUCAUACUGGUUCAAAUUUGCAACACUGAUAUGAGGAGGUGUUAGCAAGAUGGCGUGACUCCUGGAUAUGGAAUAGGAGAACAAUUGGUGUUUCAUCAUUACUGAAAAUUUUAUGCUCUUUGAAAUCAGGUAUGAAGUAUAAUAAAAAUCAACAGUUUUAUGAGA